rnacentral:ncRNA from 2 species
ACUUAAAAUGCGUUUACCGGCCUCAUCCCGAGUUAAAAGGGAAUCCAGUGCAAACCUGGAGCUGACGCGCAGCGGUAUAGAAUGUCAUGGCAAUCGCGCAAGCAGACACUGUCUUCGGAUGGGAAGUCUUUGCCUGUAAACGACUCUGAGCCCGAAGACCUGCCGGAUUAACGUCGCAUUA